GUGACACUUCUUUCUUUUACCUUGAAUCCUAAAUGCAUAAAGAAGGAAAAAAGAACAAGGGGUGAUGAUACUUUAUCAUUAGGGCCAGAGCCAUAUGGUUAAAUUGAUUGUUUUCUCUUACCUUUUUUCCUUUUCUUAUUUUUCAUAUUUCUUCUAAAAGAGAUGGCUUUGAUUUGACUAAAUAAGAGCAUAAUGUUGAUAAUGGAGAGAAUAUUGUUCUGGUGCCGACGAUAGCGCUGGGAGUUUUAC
rnacentral:misc_RNA from 1 species